CUCUUCUUUGCGUCUAAUACCAAGCUUUGAAUACCCUCCUUUCUCUAGUACCAAUUAAACAGAUAUGGCCAGAGUAACUAGAGCCCUGUUCUUCAUAGCACUCCUCCUCUGCUCGACUUUAGCUUCUGCAGCUAGACCAGAACCAGCUUUUUCAGCAGUAGCAACUAAUUCUAUGAAAACCCAACUUGGGGCUGUUGAAACACAGCAAGCUGAUAUUGAACAGAGCUGUGAGGGAGUUGGAGAAGAAGAGUGCUUAAUGAGAAGGACUUUGGCUGCUCACAUAGAUUACAUCUAUACCCAGAAGAAUAAACCCUAAACUGUAUUUGUUUGAUAACUACUAUAUCUAUCGUGAUUAUUCAGUACUUGUUAGCUAUAUAACAAGAAAUUUAAACCAGCA